UGGCCGGCCACUAAAAACACUGCAG
rnacentral:piRNA from 1 species